rnacentral:rRNA from 1 species
AUUGAACGCUGGCGGCAGGCCUAACACAUGCAAGUCGAACGAGUGGCGGACGGGUGACUAAGGUCUGGGAAACUGCCUGAUGGAUGGGGAUCACUACUGGAAACUGUAGCUAAUACCGCAUACCAUCAGCUGUGCCCAGAUGGGAUUAGCGUGUUGGUGGGGUAACGGCUGACCAAGGCGACGAUCCCUAGCUGGUCUGAGAGGAGUACCAGGCACACUGGAACUGAGACACGGUCCAGACGCCUACGGGAGGCAGCAGUGGGGAAUAUUGGACAAUGGGCGAAAGCCUGAUACAGCCAUGCCGCGUGUAUGAAGAAGGCCUUCGGGUUGUAAAGUACUUUAAGCGGGGAGGCGUUACCCGCAGAAGAAGCACCGGCUAACUCCGUGCCAGCAGCCGCGGUAAUUC